UCCCUGUCCUCUAUGAUCUGAAGACACACCAGCCCAUCCUUCUUCCUCCCCAGAAGGCUGGACUACAUCUGCUUUGAGGAUCAAGCAGGAGACAGAGAUAAGCUGCCACUUCCCCAAAUACAGAGUUGUACAGUUUACGUCUUGAGACUCAGACCUCCCACUGGCGGGAGCGCUUGCCCUUAACUGAUACAUCAAGGAAUCAAACCAGGUUAUUUUUGUUCAUGAGAUGGUGAAAUACACUGAAAGUAGUGAGGGGGGGAAAGGCGUGAGAGAGAAAACGCCCGCUGCUUCCACUGGGAUCCUUGCUGGCUGUUCCUGAGUUUUCCAUGGAAAGCACUUAGAUACUCAGAACAAAGGAUACUUGCUGGUGCGUGGGGCAUGUUGAAAUGCUGGGGAAAUUAACCCCUGGGAGCAGCACUCAACCGAUGAUGCAUAGAAACUGGCGGGUAGAAGUUCAGCUCUCUCACCCCUUGGGAGGAGUAACU